AUUAGGGAGGAGGGUCCUGGGGAAGUCAAAGCUUCCACACCUGUUCUCAAAGCCCCUCUGAGGUAUCCCCUCCCAGAUUCCAGAUCAGGUUUGGGGCUCCCAGGAGCCCUCGCUUUCUCCCCAAUAACCUCCUCCCCUGGCUCCGGGUCCUGCCCUUUGGGCUACAUGGCACAGCCUGUUUCCCUGGCCCUGUGAAGGUCCCUCCAGAGGCUGCUCUGCUCCAAGGCACACACAGACCCCAGGCCUGGCCUCCCUGAGUUGUUCCUCCCUACCAUGGCCUCUAUCCCCUGUGCGGUCUCAUCCGGAGUAAGCCUGAAGCUCGUCUUGUGAAGCCACCAUCACAUUGGCUCUUUCAGCAAUAAGCCUAAGAAAUGUAGUCUCCUCAGGCCCACGAGGUCCUCUAGAACCCCCAGAUCUUUGUGCCAACUCGUCUUUCUCCAGCUGAAGUGCUACAGCCUCUUGGUCUAUCCAUGUAGAGCUGUGAUGGCAUCAAGAAGGAAGUGAGACGCCCCUGGGACACUCCCAGGAGGGAGCAGAGGCUCUGGGGCUCCUGGCAGGUAAGCGGAGGCAGCUGGCAGGGCCUGGCUGGGGCUCCCCUUGGGAAUGCUUCAGGCGGUGUCACACCUCACCUGCCCUGGCCUGGGGGAGGGCAGGCUCUGAGCCUCUGGAUCCUUCCUCAUUCUACCAGGAUUAGGAUCUCUCAGCCAUCAGUCCCUCCCAGGGCCCAUACCAGCUUCCCAACAUACACACAGGCACCAAGUACAAAGGGCCCAAUGUGAUGUUCACCACAGGGCAGAGCCUCCCGUCGCGGCAGGCGAGCAUGUGCGCUCACACACACCCCUCACACACAGGCACGACGUGCAGGUGUGGGCAUGAAGUGACAGAGGCACGGGUUCCUAGUCCCUUCUCCUGGAACCACAGGGACCGUUGAGGAGGAGAUGGGGACAUAUGUCGUCCAGUAGCCUGGACAUCCAUGUGGACCCGUGAGGCUGGGAGGGAAGUGCAGAGGACCUCAGAAGCCCUGCUCUGUGACUUGACAGGGCGGGAGCCUGUGGCAGUUGCCUGAGAACCCUUGUGAAGACAGGGAGCGUGUGCAUGCUCCGUUCCUGACCAAGGCGCAGCUGGAUAGGGGCCCACCCCUCCCCACCUCCCCGGCUUUCCAACACUCCCCUGGAGUCUGUCCUUCUACUGGCCCCGUCCUCUCCAAAGGACCCCUGCUCUCUCCAGGGCUCUGGCCUUCCUCCCAUCCCCUGGUGUCCCUCCCAUUCCCAGCCCUCCUCACUGCCCCCAGCCCAGAGUCUGAAUGGUUGGGCUGCUUCCCUUCCUUUUGCUUCUCUCCUCCUUGGGCGUUAGGGGAGAACAAGCCACAAGAGGCCUUGGUCUCAGAAUCCACAGAUGUAAGGUCAGAAGAGCCCUCAGAGUUCUCCCAGUUAAAUGUUCUCAUACUACAGAUGGGGAAAUUGAGGCUCAGACAGUUACAGGGGCUUGAGUCAGCCACCGUCAAGCUGGCCCCAGGGCUCCUUCUCCUCUCCUGUGCUCGCUCUCAGCCCAGCUGGCUCCUCAGACUUCUCCUGGACAGGGUUGUAAACUCCAGCACUGGUCGACAAUCUCUUCACUGGAGGCAUCUGGCACCUAGAGGACCCUGUGGAAGCCAUGAGGGGUGAAGCUGCCAGCCGCCGCAGGUCCCCCUCCCCACUGCCCGUGCCCAGGCUGGCCUCUGCACAGGCAGGUUACCUUAAGACCUGGACACCCCUCCCUCUUCUGGGGUGCUGAACUGAUUCCUGGCUCUGGAGAACUCUUAUAGAAGCCACACAGCUUCUGCCAAAGUGUCCCAUGUCCACCAAGACAUGGAACACCAGGGUCAGCCUGGCUGAGAAGGCCCCAGAGCAUCUAGAGACCCUUGGGUCUAGAGACCUCCCACGAGAAAGGCUGGCAUCCUGGGGGAAGCCUGAGCCAGGGCAGCCCCAUGGGAGGGGCCUGGGACCAGACUCCAGGUCUGCAGUCCUGUGGCUAUGGGGUCCAGAGCAUAUCCCCCUGGUCUCUCUGGGCCUAACUUCCUUCAUCUGCCCAUAAGAAAAACGGAAGCAAUCCCUUGCUUCUCACAGGAGAGUGGAAGAGCUCUGGGGGUCAAACAAACAAAACAGUGGAGCCAGCCUUCCUUCCUCAUAGGGCAUCCAUGCUGUGUCUGCUCUCACCGGGCUGGUCCAGGAGACUUGAAAACACUCCUGGAAAGGUGGAGGGGCUUUCAGGAGGGGCUCUGUAGUCUCCUGCUCCCCAGAUGGAGGGAUAAGCUCCCCACAGGGUCCAGGCCCUCCCUCCUGCUCUGCCUUCCCCAUUCCCACCUAGCCCCCCACCCAAUCUGCCAGCCUGCCCCCCUGCAGACACCUCUUCCCUCCCUCCUUCCCCAGCCUGGCUCUGGGACCUGAGCCUCGGGCCAUGCACUUUCCAUUAAGGAGAUAGCAUCCCUUUGCUGAAGUCCAUUUGGGAUCCAUUUUAGUGUUAUCUAAAAAUCAAAUCUACAUGGUAAUCCUUUUAAUGUACUCCUGACUUUAGAAAAAAAUGGCUUUGCGCUCCUUCAGGAAAGGUUUUAAAGCAUUACCCAGUAAUUACUACUCACCCAUGAAAACA
rnacentral:lncRNA from 1 species